rnacentral:lncRNA from 1 species
UUCUCACCCAAUCCACAAGGAUCUCGCCGUCGUGCUCCGAAUUGAAACGAUACAAGGUUUGUCUUCUAUCUCUGUUAAUAUUCUAUCUCUGUUAUAGCCAAAGAUUUAGAGGAAUCAUAUAAACUAAUUGAUUGGUUUGUCACUGAAUGUUUGGUUGUAUAGUUCGUGUGUAUAGUUUCUGAAUGUUUGGUUGUAUAGUUUAUGAUGGUUUUGUUGGCGAGGAAUUUGAUUGUGAACUGAUCUGUGUUUGAUUGUAUAGUCGAUUGAUUUGUGUAUUUUAGAUUAAAUUUUGGAUUUUAUACUCGAUGGAUUUGUGUUUGUUUGACAAUUUGAAUGUAUACUUGAUUGAUUAGUGAAUUCGACAAUGAAAACAAAGAAGAAAUUUAACUAAGUAGGUGUGGACAUUUAAGGAAGACGUUGUAGUGAGUGUUGUAGUUAGUUUGGUUUUGUAGUUAUUAGUUUCGAACUAAUAAGCCGUCUGUAACGAGUAUAAGUUUAUUGUUUGGCUCUUUGUAAGUGGAGUGUAUUUUGUUUCUAACCAAAUGAAAAUCAUAUUUAGU